AUGUGUGGCUAGGAGGAGUGGCUGAGCCCUUUGUCCCAGGAGGAAGAGUAGGACCCUUGUUUGCAUGCUUGAUUUCCAAACAGUUCCAGAGAAUCCGCCAGGGAGACCGACUUUGGUGGGAGACUGAAGGAUUCUUCACUAAGGCCCAGAGAAAGUCCCUGAAGGAUGUAUCACUGGCCCGCAUCAUCUGUGACAACACUGGUAUCACGGAUGUACCAGAAAAGCCCUUCCAGUAUCAGCCCAGGCCAAAGAAGGGUUACACUAGAUGU